AUUGAACGCUGGCGGCAGGCCUAACACAUGCAAGUCGAGCGGUAACACAGGGAGCUUGCUCUUGGGUGACGAGCGGCGGACGGGUGAGUAAUGUCUGGGAAACUGCCUGAUGGAGGGGGAUAACUACUGGAAACGGUAGCUAAUACCGCAUAACGUCGCAAGACCAAAGAGGGGGACCUUCGGGCCUCUUGCCAUCAGAUGUGCCCAGAUGGGAUUAGCUAGUAGGUGGGGUAAUGGCUCACCUAGGCGACGAUCCCUAGCUGGUCUGAGAGGAUGACCAGCCACACUGGAACUGAGACACGGUCCAGACUCCUACGGGAGGCAGCAGUGGGGAAUAUUGCACAAUGGGCGCAAGCCUGAUGCAGCCAUGCCGCGUGUAUGAAGAAGGCCUUCGGGUUGUAAAGUACUUUCAGCGGGGAGGAAGGCGAUAAGGUUAAUAACCUUGUCGAUUGACGUUACCCGCAGAAGAAGCACCGGCUAACUCCGUGCCAGCAGCCGCGGUAACAC
rnacentral:rRNA from 1 species